GUCCAACAGCUCAGGGUUUGACAUGGCCUUGUUAAGUAGAGAUCACCUCUGAGUAGACAAUAUGCCACAGAGUAUAGCUGGAGUUUUUUAGACGGUCAGUAUAUGGCAUCUGCUUUACCUCCUAUAAGACAGCUGAUAGAUGAUUAGUUUUACAAUGCUUCAUUGUGCAAUAAAUUUCACAUCUCAUUAUUUAAAUUAAAGCAGAAUUAGCUGUUGUCAUUGUCUGUCCAUUGUUAUUUCUCACAUGCUUCAGAAUUCGAGCCUUUUUACUGCAAAAUAUUAUUAAAUAUAUUUAUUCAUCUGCUCAUGUUAUCUUGUAAAAACUGGUCACACCAAGGCUAUGAAGAGCUAUUCUCAGGGGUCACUGGUAUGCUGCCAAGAGAAUAACAUAUCUUUUUUCCAGUAAAUGCCAUGAGAUGUUUAGCACUCACCUAAGUUACCCCCAGCUAAGGUAGAUUAGACCUCUGCUUUAUGUUUCAGCCAUCAGGCACAUCAUGAGUUCAGCACCCCCCAAUGUUGUUCUGUAGUGUCAGUACUGGAACGUGUUUCCAAGUAACUGUGUGUCAAGAGACCCCCCCCCCCCCAGCAGUCUGAUUUUGCUACCAUCAAAAGAAAGGGUACUAACUGUAAGAGUAAUAACUGAAAACAAUACCCAUGCUGCAGUUUCCUGCACAUUAAAUUUAAUUUCAUAGGUACAAACAUUAAAACAUAAGAAUGAACAGUACUUUAAAUAGUUCAGAGACAGUGCUGGUUUGUCAAUUACUUGACCACUUGUAAGGCAGAUAUGUAUUCUUUGCUGAAGAGCUGUAUGGACAGAAUUUGCACCAUGUUUUUAACUUAGAGUCACAAUACUGUUUUAAGUACUGUACUAGCAUUUUAUUUUUAUUGACAAUUUACACUGCUAACUGCCAGGUGAAGUGGCCUUAUGACAACUGUUUGACAACAUUUUCUUUCAGCAUUUCAGCAUUCUGUUGAGUUAGUUUGCUAAUGACAUUCUAUAUGUAUUCUAGGGAUACUUUAACUUCUUUGUGCAUUAUUUUCUUUAUGGCUUGUGCCAUAAGAUCUGUAAUAGUACUACAUUUACCUGAUGCUUGUUGUGCCAUUUAGAGUUUUUCAUUAGUAUGCAUAUAUUUCUCAUAUUCUGAUUUCUGCAGAACUCUAUAAUCAAUUGUAAUUCAUUGAUUAUUAUGUUAGCAAUUCUGUUUCUGACCUGCCUAUGAUGGCUUUAUCAGCUAAGUGAUAGAAAUGGAACUCCUAAAUGAAAUAUUGCUCUCAAAACUGUUAAUCAGAGGUUCUAGAGUAUAUGAUACAUGUUACAGAAUCUACACUUAUGUUAAGAGCUGCAGCAAGUUUACAACCAUGAAGAAGACUUGAUUUUUUAUAAAGCACAAAGGAGGCAGAGCUAUUACCAGUUGACAAAAUCAGAUCUAUUCACUCCCCAUCAGUACUAUUUACUUCUGUUUUCAAUGAGCAGAGUUACAGUGUUAAACUUAAGGUUGCUGGCAUGUGGGAUUUUAAAGUUUUGUCCUUAACCCCGAGAUAAAGCAAUCUUGGAUUUAAUACAUAUAGACUGGUAAAGGGUGUAGAAAGCUAGUGCACCACAUCUUGACUUGGGGGGGGGGGGGGGGGGCUUGUGUACCUGUAAAAGAACUUAUUUUAUUUUUUAUUUCAUCCAUUAGAGGUUUUUGUCAAUUAGUCCUGGCGAGCUGGGGAUUAAUGGGUUUUCCAAAGAUGGUUAAUUGUGGAUUCCCACAAGUAAUUCAGUGCCUCGGGUUUAAAAUACUAACCACGGAAAGGAGUUUAGACUUUUGGCAUCUGCAUACCAUGGCAGCUUUUUUGAUGACUGUAUGUGAACAUGUAUGUUUUAUAAAGAUUAUAUAAGUCUGAUGAUAAUAAUAAUAAACAAAGUCUGAUGAUAAUAAUAAUAAUAAUAAUAAUAAUAAAAGCAAUUUCUACUUGUGUAUUCAGUAAAUGUACUAUGUGUAUGUGGAUCUGUUUUUAAUGUACACCUGAGUAAGGGAAGCAAACCCUUUCAUAAUUCAUUUAUAAAAUGUAUCAAAAUAUGUACCAUAAGUCCAUUUGUCUGCUUUAGCACAAUAAAUUAUGCAGCUUUAAGAUGA